CAACAAAGAGCGCUUUCAGUGCACCUCACUGUAAAAGCAUGUGAAAGAGAAAAGCAGGGCAGAGGAAAGAGAAGAAAGGCUAAAAAAAAGAAAGGGGGGAAGAAAACAACUUGAGCGGGACAGGCUUGUUAAAUUUAGAUAUGUUUAUAUGGACCUUUGCUUGUGUGUUUGUUUUUCGCGAGAAAGUGUUCGCGGACCAAACUAAGAAGAGUUGAACGGAGUUGAGGCUUGAAGGAGAAUGCUACCCAACACUCAUCUUUAAAAAUAGUGUAGUCAAGCGUGGUUUGGGACACCCGAGAACUGCCGUCGGCAUAAAUCCUACCUGACCUGAACGAUGCAACAUGCCGGGUUGGAGAGAAUACAGAUUGGUGUGCAAACCUCUGGGACGAAUGGAGUCAUGGACCUGCAUGAAAUAUUGUGUGGAUGGCAUUAUUAUACUUGGACCAGGCACUGAGCUCUCGAAAAAACUGACUUGGAAAAUAUACAUGCCACAAUAUAGACGCAUUCGCUGCACUUGUGUUUAGUUAAACUGUCAGUACGCUGACAUUAAACAAGUCCUUUUAAUCUCAGGGUUUCUCUCUCCGAGUUCUCAAGCCACCCUGAUUCAAGCUAAUGAGUUUAACAGAAUCUGAAUCUGAGGAAACCACACAUUGAAAGCAGCAGAACGCACCCAGAUAUAACAUUUUACGACUGAAUUAUACAAAACCGUGCAUAUCACUAAUAGAAAUAAAGAGGAAUCAACUUA